UACGGGGGGGGGUAAGCGUUGUUCGGAAUUACUGGGCGUAAAGGGCUCGUAGGCGGCCAACUAAGUCAGACGUGAAAUCCCUCAGCUUAACUGGGGAACUGCGUCUGAUACUGGAUGGCUUGGAUUCGGGAGAGGAAUGCGGAAUUCCAGGUGUAGCGGUGAAAUGCGUAGAUAUCAGGAGGAACACCGGUGGUGUAGACGGCUAUCUGGACCGUAACUGACGCUGAGGCACGAAAGCGUGGGUAGCAAACAGG
rnacentral:rRNA from 1 species